GCCACAUGAAAACUAUAAAAUCGAGCGUGGUCGCGGCCAGGCUGUGUGGUGUUUUUGUCGAUAGUAGCGCGGCCUGGCUAUCCUAUGGAGAGCGUAUAUGGGCAGAGAUGAUGCAGACUCUACGGCAGCAGCCGGGGCAUUUGAAAAUCAUGGGCAUGGACUCGGAGUGGUUUCGCGACUUGCCGCUGGCGGUCGUUCAGUUCGCAACAUCCAGCCACUGCUUCGUGCUUCACAUUAGCUUUUUCGACGGCCGCAUUUUGCCCGCUGCCGUGAAGGAGGCGCUCUGCGACCCGAGCAUUAUAAAGUGUGGGGUCGGUGUAAGCGGUGAUGUCUCGCGCCUCCAAAAGGAGCAGAACAUCACGAUUCAGAGUGUGCUUGACGUAGCUCAGUACAGCGCUCUGUUUGGCCUUCAUCAAGGUGCACAAUCAAACCUGAAAGUACUUGCGAAGAGCGUGGCGAAUUUAUCUAUCGAGAAGGACAAAAUGAUUACACGUAGCAACUGGGAGCUGCCGCUUUCGGACAGCAGGGUCAACUAUGCAGCGGAAGACGCACUGGCCUCUUACUUGGUUGGCCGGGCCGUGAUGCUGAAGGCAUCGGAGGUGACCAACAUGAGUGCACACACCUUCGAUGCUGCUCAGUGGCUCCAGCGCACCUCGUCGAAGGCGGCAAUGGAGCUAAAGAAACUGCAGCGGGAAGUGUUGAAAUCGGAGGCCGAAAAGGGGAAGAAAGCUUGCCCCGUAUCCAAGAGCAGUGGCGGUGAUGUGCUCCCAGCGCACUUCCGCAGCGGCACCAAAGUGCGUGUGCUGGACAGAAACGGAAAAUUCAUAUUCGAGUGCUCGUCAGGAAGGGCGAAAUUCUAUGUGAUGGAAAAGAAUCUGGCGGUGAUCACGAAGCAUGAAAAAAGCGAUACGCGCAAGGCCCUUGAGAUACAGCUUUUGUUUGAUCCGAAAGUGAAAACACGGCUCUGCAUACAUCAUGCCUUGGGGGUCUGUGAGCUGAAAAACCAGUGCCCAUUCGCUCACGGCGUGAGCGAGCUGCAGGCAGAGGCUGCAGCCUUAGUGGAUUCGCAAAUCCCAAGCUGCGCUUGUUGCUUAGGCACCAAGGGGCUCCUGCGCCACGCUAUAACGCCCCCGUCGUUUCGAAAAUUCAUGCCGCCUCCUCAACGUCAGGCACUGGACGACGAUUACCUCCCUGUGUGUAAGCAAUGUAACUCGACUCUGCGCCUCUACUAUGACGAGGAGAUGAAGAGAUGUUACACCCAGGCCGAGGAGUCGAACACCAUUAUGUACGACCUCAAAGUGGUGGCAAAGUGCUCUUUGUAUGCUCGCCUGUUGCUGGACGCCGACAGGCUCGCAAAUAUGCCAGCCAACCGCCGCGAAGAACUCCAGCAAUUUGUGAAGCAAAACUGGAAGAGUACCCUCUUUGAAGAUUUCAAUCCUGGAUUUGAAAUUCAUGAGCCCGUGGAGCAAAACACUUCGUUCCUGGAGCGGCUUGGGAAAAUCGUCCCCGGUGACACGAGAGCAAAAGUGACCAUGGCCGUUCUCGUUGGCGACGAUCAGGAAAAGGCGCGACAGUUCAAUAAGCGUUGGCGUGACUACUGCUUUGGUACGUGUGGUAUGAUGGAAAAGAAGAGCAACCACAUGAGCUACAAUGACUGGAAGGCCUACCGCGCUCAUAAGGGCGAGCGGCAAGCCGAUGACGACGAGGAUGAUACUCCGCAGAAAGAUUACUCCAAAAUUAGGCAGGGCUAUUGAUACCAAUGCGACGUCGAUUUCUACUG
rnacentral:misc_RNA from 1 species